CGUCUUGUCAGUGCUCCAUACAAACUUGACUUCCUAAGAGAGAAAGACUCUGAAGUUGUUUGCAAAAAGAAGCUUAAAAAAGAAGAAGUUGCUCAGUUCCGAGCUGCAGUUGCUAAGGACUAUUACUUCCAAAUGUACUAUGAUGACUUGCCAAUAUGGGGUUUUAUUGGAAAGGUUGACAAGGAGGGCAAAGCUGACCCAAGCGAGUACAAGUAUUUCUUGUACAAGCACAUUCAAUUUGAUAUUCGUUAUAACAAGGAUCGUGUGAUUGAGAUCAACGCCCGAACCGACCCUCAUUCUAUGGUUGACGUGACAGAUGAUAAGGAUGUUGAUGUGGAGUUCAUGUACACUGUCAAAUGGACAGAAACUGAUGCUCCUUUUGAGAAGAGGAUGGAGAAGUACUCUCAAACUUCUUCAAUGCCACAUCACUUGGAGAUUCAUUGGUUCUCAAUUAUAAACUCUUGCGUGACAGUACUCCUCUUAACCGGGUUUCUUGCGACGAUUCUCAUGCGAGUCCUUAAGAAUGAUUUUAUUAAGUACGGAAUGUUUUUUAAUUUUAUUUCUGGAAUGAACAAAUAUCUAUGAAUUUUCUUUUUUAUUUUCAUAUGAUGCUUAUUUAAUAUUUUUAAAGGUAUGCUCAUGAUGAAGAAUCAGCCGAUGACCAAGAAGAAACUGGAUGGAAGUACAUUCAUGGUGAUGUAUUCCGGUACCCAAAGUACAAAUCCUUGUUUGCUGCUGCUCUUGGAUCUGGC
rnacentral:lncRNA from 1 species